rnacentral:lncRNA from 1 species
GGAUGUCAUAUUAAAAACAAAUGAAAAAAAGAUACUAUGAUUCUUUUUCCCACUGUCUUCACUGUUUCUCAAAAUUAAAUUCAACUCCAAAAUUUCUGUGCUUCUCUCUCUCAUGGUGGUUUUUUCCAUUUUCUAACCCUGUGGAUUCAUCAUCAAGGUCAUGUGGAAUGAUAAUAAUCUGUGAACUUAGGAAUUACGUCUUAUGUUUCAUUAAUAUCCUGCCUACCAACUUCUCUCCUUGGACUGGUGCUCAUUUAUUAAUAAAUGACUGGUUUCAUAGUACAAAUACGAGAACAUGUAGUUUUCUCUAUCAAGCAGUAGAUCUACAGAUUUCUUAGACUCAAUACCAGGGUUUAUAACAUAAAUAAUAUGACAUGCUGACUAAAUUAUGACAUAAACCAGGAAAUUGUCCCAUAAGAAUUAAUUUUCUCCCAAUUGAAAAGCUGUACAACUAAAUGUCACAAUGAAGAGAUCAGAUUAAAAAGUCACAUGGGUCAACUUAUUCAUUUAGCAAAGGUUUUCUCCUCCCCCUUCCAUCUUGUUUCACAUCCUUAGUAACCACAAAAGCUGCUCUGACAAAGUAUGGAUACCCUUAUGUGAGUAAGUGUGGCAUCAGUUAAGAGAGCUCAAUCGGAUAAAGUGACAGAUAGCUUUCUUACAGUGGACUCAAGAAACCACCCUCUCACCACUGUCAUGGGGAUGCUCUGUGAUGACUGUGGUAUCCUUAAUGUAGCUGAUUUAAAAUGAAGCUGGAUGGGGUUAACGGAUGCAAACUAUUGCUUUUGGAAUGGAUUAACAAUGAGAUCCUGCUGUGCAGCACUGAGAACUAUGUCUAGAUACUUACAAAGGAACAUGACAAUGGGAGAAAAAAGUAGGUAUAUAUGUAUGUGUAACUGGGUCCCCAUUUUGUAAAAUGGAAAAAAUGUGUUGGGGAAAUAACAAUAAAAAAUAAAUAAAUAAAAUAAAAUAAAAUGGAGCUGGAGACUCAUUCAGCAGUAGAAACAAGCUCACAGUAUAAUGAAAAGAGUACUCUAGAGUAGUACAUAGUCUGAAAUUCAUUUUCUUAUCACUGUUCUUCAAAACUUCAAAUCACAUACCUAAUUUAUAGGUUUACUGAGUCUGAACAACUUAUUUGUCCUAUUUCAUUCUCUCUAGGUUAUAUAUCUGUAACAUGACAUCACAUUCUUAGCAAAAAGAAACAAAUGUCCACCUACAAAGGGCCUCCAUUAUCAGGUGUUAAUAAAUUACCUAAGAGUAAGAUUCAGGAUUAGAAUUGUUGGACAUCAGAACUCAUCUGUGCUGAAAUCAAAACUAUAGUAAUGCAAACAGGUGCCUCUUUGAUAUUAUGUAUUCCAGGUGGGAAGGAACUGUUCUCAUUGCUAAGUGAAACUUACAACAGAGUAAUCUGAAUACAUUCUUUGUGUACUCAUUGAAACUUGUUUUGCAGCAAGAUAAAUUUUCUGAAGUAAAACUUGGGCAAAAAAAAGUUAUGUCAUACUUAGAAUUGAUUAAUUCCACAAGUUGUUGCAAGUGAAUUUGGGCAUUUUUUUUCCUACAAGAGACUAAGUAUACAGAAAACCCUGUGAGGUCUACAUUGAAAAGGUUAGAAAAGAUUCUUAUUUGCUAAUAGUGUAUUACACUAUUACACAUCUACAAACAGAAGAAUUUACAUUAUUUUCAAUUAAUUAUCAUGAAAGAGGAAAAUAAAGGGUAAAGAAACAUUAAGGAGAAAUGAAAACGCAACUGACCACUUGCAAAGCUGAACUCUUCACUUUCUUCCCCUCAAGGUAUGCACCUCUGUUUUUCUAACCAGUUCAGAAAUCAUAGGUCAUCCUUGACUCUUCCCCAUCAUUUAACCACUGCCAUGCCAUGUAAUUGCUCUCUUCUUUAGGAAUCUAUCUCCCUUUAUUCCUUCAUCCAACUAGUUUUAGAGUGUCUUUUUGCUCUCAGUUUUUCUCUUACCUUGAAUUUACCUUACAGAUGUCUAAAAAUCAAAUCAUGCCAUGUAGUGUCAAUUUUUCUAUUUGAUUUCUAGAGCAAACUCUUUAGCUUGAAUAAAAAGCUCUUCAUAAUCUGGCCUUUGUUUUUACCUCCAAUUUUAUGUUUCCUCACACAAUCAACACACACUCACCACCCUCUCUUCUGUAUGCCCAGCGCACAAAGUCUUGUCUGCUUGUACUAGCCUACUUAGAGCUUCCUGACCACCUGGAUCUUCCAAACUCUUACAGUAUUCUUCUGUCCUACUAUUUAGUAUACCGCCUCCUUCUCUUGUUGUCCGUCCAAUCCCCACCGUACUUCCCCUGGCUCAUAGAACCUUUUAUUUUGAACUUGGAUUUAAAUAUGUUGCCUCCAGGAAAACCUCCCUGUACAAACCGUGGUCAUGGUCUUUAUCACGUACACUUUCACCUGUUUCCACGACUGAUUUCAUCAUAAAAUCUAAACACUUUGAUGUUAAGAAACUGACAUUUUCCAGUCUGCAUUUUUAAUAUUUAGCCUUCUGGCUAGCACUAGGAUGCAAAGUAGAUGUUCAAUAUAUUGGUACUGAAUUCAUAAGUGAGUAAAUUCAUUCAUUUAACAAAUAUAUGUUAAACAACUAUAUAUUUCAAAAAUUCACCAAUGCCUUAAAAAUAAAAUGAGCAAAAAGAAAACAAAGUCUCUACUCUUUUGGAGCUUUCAUUUUACUAGGAAGAGAUAGAAAUAAAUAUUAAAUGAGUAAUUUCCAAUAGGGUAAGGUGAACAAAAAGAAAAUAGAAUAUUAAAGACUUAAAUAUGUGAAUAUUAAGUUUAAUAUCAAUUCUCAUGAUUUUCCUUUUCAAGAGAACUCCAUUUUUCUUUUAAGAUGGCAGUGUGCCCAUUCAACCUAUUCUCUUUUCAGAAUUCCUUGUAAUUAGAUAUGCCCAUGUGAGGAAUUAACCAAUGAACUCAAGGCACUGGAUGGGCCAAGCAAGGCUUUUUUUGCUUUCUGCUUUCUUUUAUUUAUUCAUCCUUCUACUUGAAAAGUAUAACAGAUGAUUAUCAACCAUGAGAAUUAGUUAUGCCCCGAGGAUACAAAGUAGAAAGAGAUGAGCCCAGUUCGUAAAUACCCAUAUCUGCCAUGGCUUGACUAACCCUAUGUCAGGUAAGAAAAACAAACAAGAAGAUAUUUUUUAAGCCACUUAGUAUGUUUCUUAUAAGUGUACCCCAAUGCAAUCCUAACUGAUAUGGUGGUUAUCUGGGUAUAAGAGGAAGAAAAAUAUGCUCACGUGCUUUAGAGAAUUAGCAGUUAAUGUGAGACAUUUUAUCCUUAUGACAAUAUGCAAAUAACAUUUAAAAUGUUUAUGGGAGAUCCCAUUGUGACUCAGGAGGUUACCCACCCAGCUAGCAUCCAUGAGGAUGCAGGUUCGAUCCCUGGCCUCCCUCAGUAGGUUAAGAACCCAGCAUUGCAUGAGUUGUGGUUUAAGCCGUAGACACAUCUUUGAUCCUACAUUGCUGUGACUGUGAUGUAGGCCGGCAGCUCUAGCUCUGAUUCAACCCCUAGCCAGGGAACUUCCAUGUGUUGCAGGAAUGGCUAUAAAAAGCAAAAAAAUAAAAAGUAAGAUUUUUGUGAAACGUUACAUUUUGUAUCAAUAUAGGAGGAUUUGAGAAUUUUGGCCAGAAAAGUAUGUAUUAUGAUUUAAGUUAUUAAACAAGGUUAUAUAUUUUUAUAUAUUGGCAUUAAUAUAUUCUUGAUUAUACAAAAUACAGCAAAUAAAUUCUGCUUUUCCAAGUCUUAUCAAAGAUCAGACACAGAGAGAAAAAAUAUCACUUAAGAACAGAAAGCGAGGAUUAAGAUGACGAAAUAGAAGGACUGGAGCUCAACUUCUCUCCUAAAAACAACAAAAUUUACAACUGAAGACUGAGCAAUCUCCACCCAAAUGGAGUGGAAACCUUAAAAAAGAUACCCUACUCCAGAAGAAAAAGAGGAGGCCACAUCAAGAGGUAGGAGGGACGAUUUCAUGAUACAAACAACUCCAUACCUCCCGGGUGGGAAGCUCCACAGACUGGAAACUAACUGGUUCACAGAGACUCACCUACAGUGAGGAAUACACCCAUGGAGGAAUACACCGAGACACAUAUUAAUCAAACUGACCAAAAUUAAAGUCAAAGAGAAAAUCUUGAAAGCAGCUAGGGAAAAGAAACAAGUAACAUACAAGGGAACCCCAAUAAGGUUAUCAGCAGAUUUGUCAGCAGAAACUCUGCAGGCCAGAAGGGAGGGGCAUGAUAUACUUAACGUGAUGAAAGGAAAAAAAACAUCCAACCAAGAUUAAUCUACCCAGCAAGACUCUCAUUCAGAUUUGAAGGAGAAAGCAAACCCCUCACAGAUAAGCAAAAGCUGAGAGAAUUCAGCAACACGAAACCAACCUUACAACAAAUACUAAAGGAACUUCUCUAGGCAGAAAAGAAAAGACAGCAACAGGAAACAAAAAUUCCACAAAUGACAAGGCUCACCAGUAAAGGUACCUAUACAGUAAAGAUACAAAAUCAUCCAUGCACAAUUAUACCACCAAAAUCAGAAAUCAUGAGAAGAGGUGGGUACAAAUGCAGGACACUGGAGAUGCACUUGCAAUUAAGAGAACAACAACUUAAAACAAUCUCAUAUAUACAUAUGGACUCUUAUAUCAAAACUUCAGAAUAACUGCAAACCAAAAAUCUACAAUUGAUACACAAGCAAGGAAUCUCUGGAGAAGAAAUAUAUCUCAUAGUAAAUAAGUGCAUAAUCCACCAUGAAGGGGGUCAUUUGACAUCAUUUUUGGAAUGCUGAUGUCUUCUUACAUCUGAUUCUGAUUUCCUCUCCAUCAAAGAAUUUAUGACAACUAUAAUUAAAGAAUGCAAUUGUGCAAUUAAAUAAUACAGUUCUACAGUUGUGCUAUUAAUAACCAUUUCUCUCCAUGGUACAAUGCAAGGUCUAUAAUGUCUUGUUUAUCACAUCACCUAGAAUGGUGUAACCUCUAUAUUGGAAGAAUCAAUAAGAUGUAACAAAUUGUGAGGACAUAUUUAUAAAGUUACACUGUUUUUUAACCAAUUUAUGCAUUUUAUAUUUUCCUUAUUUUCAGAGGGUGUAUUAUUUUUGUUAUUCUUACCAGUUAAGUUAUUUUUACCAUGCUAUAUAAAAUAUUUAAUGGUAUAUAAGGCUUUCUUCUUUAUAAAUUUUAGCUGCAUAAUAUACACAAUUUUAAUAUAAUGCUAAUUUUUAAAGAAAAAUUGAAAUGUAAUAGAUAAUACAAAAUAGUAAAGGUGAAAGCCAUACAAAAUGGGAUAAAGUAUCGAAUAAAUUUCCUAUUUGUCUCAGCAUAUUUUCCAUUCCACUUCCCCAGAGGGAGUCACUUAAUCUGUUUCUUAAGAUCCAUGAUAUAACAAUCUGUGUGAAUGUAAUUGUGUUUAAAUAUAUGUAUUUUAUUCUCUAAAAAAA